GCCCCAGUAGCUCAGGGGAUAGAGCAUUCGCCUCCUAAGCGAAGGGUCGGACGUUCGAAUCGUCUCUGGGGUGCCA
rnacentral:tRNA from 4 species